UUGAAAGGGAAACGAUUGAAGUCAGUCGUGCUGGCGCGAAAUCAACCCCUUCAUCGGGAGACCCAUGUUGUGGCGAGCCUCAAGACCGCCACAGCAUGUGUCUCACGAUGAGGGGGAGCACUUUCGUGUCCGCUGGUUAACAUCAAUUUCGAACGUCAUAAAAAGGCUGGAGGGAUGUGGCUCCUUCGGGAGUGUUAUAACCUUUAGCGGAAUGUGGUGUUCGGGAUUGAGGAUUGCAACGAAUACCUUUAGGGCUGUUCCACCUGGCUUCUCUUUGGUAUCCUGGUGACGACAGCUUGCUGACGUUGUUAGGAUUCGCCUUUGAACAGGCUAGAGUGUGAGCAAAUUCGUUAAGGAUGUUGACGUA
rnacentral:rRNA from 1 species